rnacentral:rRNA from 1 species
CCUACGGGGUGCUGCAGUGAGGAAUAUUGGUCAAUGGACGAGAGUCUGAACCAGCCAAGUAGCGUGAAGGAUGACUGCCCUAUGGGUUGUACACUUCUUUUAUAAAGGAAUAAAACGAGGCACGUGUGCCUUUUUGCAUGUACUUUAUGAAUAAGGAUCGGCUAACUCCUUGCCAGCAGCCGCGGUAAUACGGAGGAUCCGAGCGUUAUCCGGAUUUAUUGGGUUUAAAGGGAGCGUAGAUGGGUUUUUAAGUCAGUUUUGAAAGUUUGCGGCUCAACCGUAAAAUUGCAAUUGAUACUGGCAGUCUUGAGUACAGUUGAGGUAGGCGGAAUUCGUGGUGUAGCGGUGAAAUGCUUAGAUAUCACGAAGAACCCCGAUUGCGAAGGCAGCUUACUAAACUGUGACUGACAUUGAUGCUCGAAAGUGUGGGUAUCAAACAGGAUUAGAUACCCUUGUAGUC